rnacentral:rRNA from 1 species
UCCCACGGGGGGCAGCAGUGAGGAAUAUUGGUCAAUGGACGAGAGUCUGAACUAGCCAAGUAGCGUGAAGGAUGACUGCCCUAUGGGUUGUAAACUUCUUUUAUAUGGGAAUAAAGUGAGCCACGUGUGGCUUUUUGUAUGUACCAUACGCAUAAGGAUCGGCUAACUCCGUGCCAGCAGCCGCGGUAAUACGGAGGAUCCGAGCGUUAUCCGGAUUUAUUGGGUUUAAAGGGAGCGUAGGCGGAUUAUUAAUUCAGUUGUGAACGUUUGCGGCUCAACCGUUACAUUGCA